rnacentral:rRNA from 1 species
UUAAAUUGAAGAGUUUGAUCAUGGCUCAGAUUGAACGCUGGCGGCAGGCCUAACACAUGCAAGUCGAACGGUAACAGGAAGCAGCUUGCUGCUUUGCUGACGAGUGGCGGACGGGUGAGUAAUGUCUGGGAAACUGCCUGAUGGAGGGGGAUAACUACUGGAAACGGUAGCUAAUACCGCAUAACGUCGCAAGACCAAAGAGGGGGACCUUAGGGCCUCUUGCCAUCGGAUGUGCCCAGAUGGGAUUAGCUAGUAGGUGGGGUAACGGCUCACCUAGGCGACGAUCCCUAGCUGGUCUGAGAGGAUGACCAGCCACACUGGAACUGAGACACGGUCCAGACUCCUACGGGAGGCA